rnacentral:rRNA from 1 species
ACGGGUGAGUAAUACAUCGGAACGUAUCCUGGAGUGGGGGAUAGCCCGGCGAAAGCCGGAUUAAUACCGCAUACGCUCUGAGGAGGAAAGCGGGGGACCUUCGGGCCUCGCGCUCAAGGGGCGGCCGAUGGCGGAUUAGGUAGUUGGUGGGGUAAAGGCCUACCAAGCCGACGAUCCGUAGCUGGUCUGAGAGGACGACCAGCCACACUGGGACUGAGACACGGCCCAGACUCCUACGGGAGGCAGCAGUGGGGAAUUUUGGACAAUGGGGGCAACCCUGAUCCAGCAAUGCCGCGUGUGUGAAGAAGGCCUUCGGGUUGUAAAGCACUUUUGUCCGGAAAGAAAUCAUCGGGGCCAAUACCCCUGGUGGAUGACGGUACCGGAAGACUAAGCACCGGCUAACUACGUGCCAGCAGCCGCGGUAAUACGUAGGGUGCGAGCGUUAAUCGGAAUUACUGGGCGUAAAGCGUGCGCAGGCGGUGCUGUAAGACCGAUGUGAAAUCCCCGGGCUUAACCUGGGAACUGCAUUGGUGACUGCAGCGCUGGAGUAUGGCAGAGGGGGGUGGAAUUCCACGU